CCUGCCUCCCCUCUUCCUGCGAAGGCACAGUCGUGCCCAGAGUCAUGCAGAGGUACUGGCUGGGGCUCCAUUCACAGGCUGCCUCUGAAAUCUGGGGCAAUAGGCUGCUAGGAAGCAGAGGGUGCCCAAGCAGCUCAAUGUCUCCUUUAUGUCUCACUUCUGGCAGCUUUUGGACGCUGUGCGGAAGAGUUGGAGGAGGCUGGUGCAUCCCCAGAGACGUGCUGCCCUGUGCCCCUGGAGAAGCUCCCCUUGGUUCACAGCCUCAGGCUCGUUGAGAGGAGGGUACAGGAUGUGGGCAGACACCUGGAUGCAGUUCUGAUACCGCCGAGUGUGGCGACAGCCACGAUGAGCCAGUUCUCCUAUUCCGCUAUGGAAUCCACCACCUCUGCCCUCUGGAGUCCCAGCUCCUUUUCCCUGAGAGAAGCUGCCAUCAUUCAGUCGGAGCCCCUCUGCCACACAGGGGAGAUCAUGCCCUUCGCGAGCUGGGAAGGAUCCACUCAUCCCAUCCAAGCCCAGCCUGUCCCCAGGCCUCCUGCCCACAGCAGACAAGACC